rnacentral:rRNA from 1 species
UACAGAGGUCUCAAGCGUUGUUCGGAUUCAUUGGGCGUAAAGGGUGUGUAGGUGGCGCGCUAAGUCGGGUGUGAAAUUCGGAGCUUAACUCCGAAACUGCAUUCGAUACUGGCGUGCUUGAGGACUGGAGAGGAGACUGGAAUUCAUGGUGUAGCAGUGAAAUGCGUAGAGAUCAUGAGGAAGACCAGUGGCGAAGGCGGGUCUCUGGACAGUUCCUGACGCUGAGGCACGAAGGUCAGGGGAGCAAACGGG